rnacentral:rRNA from 1 species
UUUAUUAGAUUUUAGUUAUCUACUUGGAUAACUGUGGCAAUUCUAGAGCUAAUACAUGCACGAAAGCUCGGACCUUAGGGAAAGAGCGCAUUUAUUAGACCAAAACCAAUCAGGCUUCGGCUUGUGUUUUGGUGACUCUGAAUAACUAAGUGAAUCGCACAGUCUUAGUACUGGCGAUGUAUUUUUCAAAUGUCUGCCUUAUCAACUUUCGAUGGUAGGUUAUACGCCUACCAUGGUUAUAACGGGUAACGGAGAAUAAGGGUUCGACUCCGGAGAGGGAGCCUGAGAAAUGGCUACCACAUCCAAGGAAGGCAGCAGGCGCGCAAAUUACCCAAUCCCAGAACGGGGAGGUAGUGACGAAAAAUAACGAGGUAGUCCACUCUGUGGCCUGCCAUCGGAAUGGGUACAAUUUAAAACUUUUAACGAGUACCAAUUAGAGGGCAAGUCUGGUGCCAGCAGCCGCGGUAAUUCCAGCUCUAAUAGCGUAUAUUAAAGUUGUUGUGGUUAAAACGCCCGUAGUUGGAUCUUCGGUCUUGAAGCUCGGUAACUCGUAAGGGUUUAACUGAGUCUUCUGGCCUAAAUUUUAGUAUUCUCCUGAUGCUCUUUAUUGAGUGUCUUGAGUUGCUAGAACGUUUACUUUGAAAAAAUUAGAGUGCUAAAAGCAGGCUAUAUGCUUGAAUAAAGUGCAUGGAAUAAUGGAAUAGGACUUUAGUUUUAUUUUGUUGGUUUUCGAAAUUAAAGUAAUGAUUAAGAGGAACAGACGGGGGCAUUAGUAUUGUUGCGUUAGAGGUGAAAUUCUUGGAUCGCAGCAAGACUAACAACUGCGAAAGCAUUUGCCAAGAAUGUUUUCAUUAAUCAAGGACGAUAGUUAGAG